GUCAACCUUCAAUACUAGUCCCAAAUGGACUUCCCGUCUUUUUGGAUUACUUAUCUAUAAUGAACAUAUAUAGCAAUCUAGUAUUAGCGACCAAACGUCACAAUUCAAUUAUUUGAAUUCACCAAACUAGUGGUUAAGUAGUAAGCCUUAAUUACACCAUAAAGGGUGUCACUUUAACCUUCUUAUACUCCAAUUACAUUUACAUGUCAUGCAUAUUCAUACAACAUCCUCCAAUAUCAAGUUUGGAUUCAUUUAUCCUUCCAACCAAUCCAUUAAACCAAAUUGAGCCAUAGACAUAAAUAAUCAUCAAUUCAAUGGUAUAUCACCAUAUCCACCUUCCAUAACUCAAGUACCAUAUCCACAUUCC
rnacentral:lncRNA from 1 species